rnacentral:rRNA from 1 species
AAUGAACGCUGGCGGCAUGCCUAACACAUGCAAGUCGAACGAGAUCUUCGGGUCUAGUGGCGCACGGGUGCGUAACGCGUGGGAAUCUGCCCUUUGGUUCGGAAUAAUAGUUGGAAACGACUGCUACUACCGGAUGAUGACGAAAGUCCAAAGAUUUAUCGCCAGAGGAUGAGCCCGCGCAGGAUUAGCUAGUUGGUGUGGUAAAGGCGCACCCAGGCGACGAUCCUUAGCUGGGCUGAGAGGAUGAUCAGCCACACUGGGACUAAGACACGGCCCAGACUCCUACGGGAGGCAGCAGUGGAGAAUAUUGGACCAUGGGCGAAAGCCUGAUCCAGCAAUGCCGCGUGAGUGAUGAAGGCCUUAGGGUUGUAAAGCUCUUUUACCCGGGAUGAUAAUGACAGUACCGGGAGAAUAAGCUCCGGCUAACUCCGUGCCAGCCGCCGCCGUAA